CUGGAAUGAAUGGUAUAGGUGGUGGGGUGGUUUGAAAGACGGGAACGUAGCGGGCGGAAACUCUCGAAAAGCGACUGCGCAGGCGCGCGCCGGGCGCGGACGCUCACGGGUCACCCAGGGUAUCCGCCCCAAGCGGAGAAUAUCGGCGCAAGCGCGGAGUAGCCGUGUCACGCAUGCGUGCGAACGCACCACAUUCCGGAACGGGAAGAAGGAGCUGUCUCUCUCUUCUGAGGGGUAGGCAGGUGCUUCCGAAUCGCGGAAUGUAGGUGCUCAUAAGCUGGAGACCCACGGAAAGAACCUAGAAGCUCCGAGCGGUUGCAGACAGCACUGCAUUGAGCCAACGACUCCUGCUCUACUGAUGGUGAUUCCACAGCUUUGUGAGGAAUAAGUUAAGAUGAAUUACAGUUUCCCCUGGACUUCUUUCUCUCUCCUGCCGCCUUGUGAAGAAGGUGCCUGCCUCCCCUUCCACCACGAUUCUAAGUUUCCUGAAGUCUCCCCAGCCAUGCUGAACUAAUGUUAUCUUAUCUGGAAGAAGAGGAAUAGGAAAGAAAAGGAGUCAGGAAUGGAUCUUACUCAGAAGGCUGACUAGACACAGCCAGGUGGAAGAGCUCCCACUGCGGGACCAAGAUGACUGGAAUGCCCCUAACAGAUCUUCAGAGGGAAGAAACCAGGAGUGGACAGAGAGAAGACACAGAAGCUGGGCUGAAGGUAGUGAAAGCUGGGAAUGUGGCACAGGACUACUGCACACCAGGUUUUGUUCCUGGCCCACAAUGGCUCUGGGGGAUCAGGUGAGUUGAAUUGUCAAGGAACAACCCACUGUUGCCAUGGGCCUCUGGAACCCCUGUAGGAGAAGACCCCUUCACCAUCACAGACAUUCGAGUUGGCAGGGAGAGCUGCUUAGAGAAGGGGUAGGGGCAGCAAGCCAUUGGUGUGGAGCACAGAGGGUAUACUGCAGGAGUGUCUGUAGUGGAACAUGGCCAGGGAUGGCCAUCCUAGGCUCAACUUGCUCCCAUAGAAGACUUUAGCCCUAGGGGAACUGUCAGACAUGAUCUCUGCAGGGUGGUCUUCCCCAUCAGGUGGGGCUGGUCCAACCUGAGCACCCCUUGGUCUGCUGGUCUCUCUAGGAGCCCCAGCCUGGUUACACCUGCUUGCAGAGCAGUCUCUAGUGCCCUGGCGGCCCACACCAUUGCUUCUGUGCCUGGAAGACCAUGCCUGACUGGCAGCUCCAG
rnacentral:lncRNA from 10 species